UGUGCAGAGCUCAGAGACAGCGUCUAAGAGGGCGGCUGACAAUCUGCCUCAAACACAAACACAUGACAAAUAUAGUUCUGCAGUGAAGACUUUAGCCCCACGGGGAAAGCUGAGACUCAGGAGCCUGAUGGCAUAAACAAGGCGAAAGGCUUGGUAGCAAAUCAGAAGACUUGUUUUUGGAAGCUGAAAACUUACUUCGGCAACAACAGUCCUCCAUGGCUCCCUGUUUGUGCUCUUGCUGGCCAGGCCUGGGAAGCCCUCUUGGGGCCUCUGAGGCUUGUAACCAGCCCUGCUUAGGAACUUACUGUGUCUCUGUUUGAUUGAGCCUGGGCAUGAGAUAAAACACGAGGUCAUCUGCAAUGGCACUGGUGCUGUGGCUGUAUCAGCAUGGCUCUGAUGUCCCUUCGGGGCAGGCAACAGUUCAGGGAGGACUUACAAGCAAGCUCUGGAACUUGAAGUCUCAAGAGAUGACAAAUAGUCAAUUCUCAAAAAAUGAAGAAAAGAAAAACUUGUUUCUUCAUGUUUGCUAACCCUAUCUAUAUCUAUGGUUUUGGCCAAUAAAUUCACUGUGUUUAAAUCCUCA
rnacentral:lncRNA from 1 species